AAAAGUGUCCAAGGUUUCCGUAGGUGAACCUGCGGAAGGAUCAUUA
rnacentral:rRNA from 1 species